rnacentral:rRNA from 1 species
GUUAAGUGGGAAACGAUGUGGGAAGGCCCAGACAGCCAGGAUGUUGGCUUAGAAGCAGCCAUCAUUUAAAGAAAGCGUAAUAGCUCACUGGUCGAGUCGGCCUGCGCGGAAGAUGUAACGGGGCUAAACCAUGCACCGAAGCUGCGGCAGCGAACGUAUCACUUAAAGCGAUUCAGCGGGUUACGAUUGACGGAGCGAAGCGACGUCAAAGCGUAUACAAAGUCGAGUCGGUUUAAGGAUACGUUCGUUGGGUAGGGGAGCGUUCUGUAAGCCUGUGAAGGUGUGUCGUGAGGCAUGCUGGAGGUAUCAGAAGUGCGAAUGCUGACAUAAGUAACGAUAAAGCGGGUGAAAAGCCCGCUCGCCGGAAGACCAAGGGUUCCUGUCCAACGUUAAUCGGGGCAGGGUGAGUCGACCCCUAAGGCGAGGCCGAAAGGCGUAGUCGAUGGGAAACGGGUUAAUAUUCCCGUACUUGGUGUUACUGCGAAGGGGGGACGGAGAAGGCUAUGUUGGCCGGGCGACGGUUGUCCCGGUUUAAGCGUGUAGGUGUGUGUUCCAGGUAAAUCCGGUUCACUUUAACACUGAGGCGUGAUGACGAGGCACUACGGUGCUGAAGCAACAAAUGCCCUGCUUCCAGGAAAAGCCUCUAAGCAUCAGGUAACAUCAAAUCGUACCCCAAACCGACACAGGUGGUCAGGUAGAGAAUACCAAGGCGCUUGAGAGAACUCGGGUGAAGGAACUAGGCAAAAUGGUGCCGUAACUUCGGGAGAAGGCACGCUGACACGUAGGUGAAGUGAUUUACUCAUGGAGCUGAAGUCAGUCGAAGAUACCAGCUGGCUGCAACUGUUUAUUAAAAACACAGCACUGUGCAAACACGAAAGUGGACGUAUACGGUGUGACGCCUGCCCGGUGCCGGAAGGUUAAUUGAUGGGGUCAGCGCAAGCGAAGCUCCUGAUCGAAGCCCCGGUAAACGGCGGCCGUAACUAUAACGGUCCUAAGGUAGCGAAAUUCCUUGUCGGGUAAGUUCCGACCUGCACGAAUGGCGUAAUGAUGGCCAGGCUGUCUCCACCCGAGACUCAGUGAAAUUGAACUCGCUGUGAAGAUGCAGUGUACCCGCGGCAAGACGGAAAGACCCCGUGAACCUUUACUAUAGCUUGACACUGAACAUUGAGCCUUGAUGUGUAG